GAACCGACACUGGAGAUGGUCUGAUAGAUCUACAGUCAACUACAGGGCUUGGAAUACUGGUGAACCCAACAAUUCUAAAAAUAAUGAAUACUGCGUAGAGCUUUGGUGUGACUCAGGUUAUCUUGCGUGGAACGAUGAGAAUUGCAGAAGUGAGCGCUCGUACGUCUGUGAGUUUGUGCGCUAGUGCUGGCAGCUCCUUCUCCAAGAUUCCAGAAACAACUCUGAGGAACCCAUCCGUUUCGACUAGAGAGCCUUCACAACUUUCACCCUUCCUUCCAAGAACCCAGAUCGGCAUCCUACAUUAUAAAUUGUCCUCCUUCUAGAUUGCCUAUAUGUUAACUCACUUAUGAAUCUUGACUGUGAAACUGGAUAACAACAGUAAACUCUGUCUUUGGUUGUUUGCAUACUGAA